GAAGCUGGUCAGACAGUCGCCGCCUGCGUGCAGGGGGAGGAAAGUCCGGGCUCCAUAGGGUGGAACGCCAGGUAACGCCUGGGGGGCGCAAGCCUACGGAAAGUGCAGCAGAGAGCAGACCGCCGAUGGCCUCCUUGAGGCACAGGUAAGGGUGAAAGGGUGGGGUAAGAGCCCACCGCGCGACUGGUAACAGUUCGUGGCACGGUAAACCCCGUUCGGAGCAAGACCAAAUAGGCCCUCGAUGGUGUGACCCGCACUGAGGGCGGGUAGGUUGCUUGAGCCCUGUGGUGACGCAGGGCCUAGAUGAAUGACUGUCCAUGACAGAACCCGGCUUAUCGACCGGCUUCAAUU
rnacentral:RNase_P_RNA from 1 species